GACUCCGUGACGCAACUAUAGUGCAUCCGACUCCAGAUCAGAAGGCUGCGUGUUCAAAUCACGUCGGGGUCA
rnacentral:tRNA from 1 species